CAAUAUAUAUAGCCGAUGAGACAAAAACGCCAACAACAGCAUAAAAAAGAAGACAAGAAGAAAAGGAAAAGAAAAUACAAAAUAUCACGAGACUCGCACUCUCUUCUU
rnacentral:ribozyme from 11 species